rnacentral:rRNA from 1 species
ACGUAGGUGGCGAGCGUUGUCCGGAAUUACUGGGUGUAAAGGGAGCGCAGGCGGGGAAAAAAGUCAGCUGUGAAAACUAUAGGCUUAACCCAUAAACUGCAGUUGAAACUGUUUUUCUUGAGUGGAGUAGAGGUAGGCGGAAUUCCGAGUGUAGCGGUGAAAGGCGUAGAUAUUAGGAGGAAGACCAGUGGCGAAGGCGGCCUACUGGGCUGUACCUGACGCUGAGGCGCGAAAGUGUGGGGAGCGAACGG